rnacentral:rRNA from 1 species
UGGGGAAUUUUGGACAAUGGGCGCAAGCCUGAUCCAGCCAUGCCGCGUGUGUGAAGAAGGCCUUCGGGUUGUAAAGCACUUUCGGACGGAACGAAAUCGCGCGGUUGAAUAUCCCGCGUGGAUGACGGUACCGUAAGAAGAAGCACCGGCUAACUACGUGCCAGCAGCCGCGGUAAUACGUAGGGUGCGAGCGUUAAUCGGAAUUACUGGGCGUAAAGGGCGCGUAGGCGGCAUGACAAGUCACUUGUGAAAUCUCUGGGCUUAACCCAGAACGGCCAAGUGAUACUGUCGCGCUAGAGUGCAGAAGGGGCAAUCGGAAUUCUUGGUGUAGCGGUGAAAUGCGUAGAUAUCAAGAGGAACACCUGAGGUGAAGACGGGUUGCUGGGCUGACACUGACGCUGAGGCGCGAAAGCCAGGGGAGCAAACGGGAUUAGAUACCCAGGUAGUCCCUGAGCGGGCUGGCAAGGCGCAU